UACGUAGGUGGCAAGCGUUGUCCGGAAUUAUUGGGCGUAAAGCGCGCGCAGGCGGUCCUUUAAGUCUGAUGUGAAAGCCCACGGCUCAACCGUGGAGGGUCAUUGGAAACUGGGGAACUUGAGUGCAGAAGAGGAAAGUGGAAUUCCAAGUGUAGCGGUGAAAUGCGUAGAUAUCGGGAGGAACACCAGUGGCGAAGGCGGCGAUCUGGACAGAUAUUGACGCUGAGGUGCGAAAGCGUGGGGAGCAAACAGG
rnacentral:rRNA from 1 species